rnacentral:misc_RNA from 1 species
AAAAUAACGGAUCCAUACCCCCCACGUGGGGGGUAUGGAUCCGUUAUCNNGUUCGGUUUCUUUAGUAGUUUUUUUAGUUCUUUUCUAUUUUUCUUUCUUUUCGUUGAUUUUUCGUUGAUUUACUAUGAUAUAUUUUGUAUGUACUAAUAUUACUAARAAAUUUUUACUAAUAUUACUAAUAUUAACUAAUAUUAUAAGUUAAUUUAAUAGAAAAGAAAAAGGUUGUAUUUUUUUCUCCUUUGAUCUUUAUUUGUAUAUCUUUAUUUGYAUCUUAAUAAUUAAGAUAAUAAGACAAGAUAAAAAAAUAGUGAUCA